UGGAUAUGAUGAAUUUCUAUCUGAUAAACAUGAUGAAUCUUUGACCUUUUCCUCUAGAUAGUCAAGUGCUGAUCCAG